CAGUCGCCACGGGAAUACGUAGGGUGCAAGCGUUAAUCGGAAUUACUGGGCGUAAAGCGUGCGCAGGCGGUUUGUUAAGACAGAUGUGAAAUCCCCGGGCUCAACCUGGGAACUGCAUUUGUGACUGGCAAGCUAGAGUGUGGCAGAGGGGGGUGGAAUUCCGCGUGUAGCAGUGAAAUGCGUAGAUAUGCGGAGGAACACCGAUGGCGAAGGCAGCCCCCUGGGCCAACACUGACGCUCAUGCACGAAAGCGUGGGGAGCAAACAGGAUUAGAUACCCGCGUAGUCCCUGUCUCUUAUAC
rnacentral:rRNA from 1 species